AGGAGGCAGAAGUGGAGGCCAAGGAUCGGGGAUUGUUCGAUUUCUUAAAGAAGAAGGAUGAAGACGAGAGGCCUCAAGAGGAGGUGAUCGUCACUGAGUUCGAGAAGGUUCAGGUCUCUGAACCCGAGCCCAAGAUCGAGGAGCCCCUAAGGAAGAAGAGGAGAAGAAGCAUUCUCUCUUAGAGAAGCUUCACCGAUCUGACAGCAGCUCCAGCUCCGUAAGUUCCAUUUAUAUAUUUUCUAUGUUGUAGUUAUAUUAUAAUAUUGGAAGAUUUUUUAAAUCAGCAUGACUCUGCUUGCGGUGUCACGGAAACUUUAAGUGUUCAUAGUCGCGAUCCGUAGAAUUAAUGUAUUAGCGGUUGAUCUGAGACCUUGUACGAUUAAUUGAAUGGUAAGUACGCUUCUAAUGGCUUUCCAAAUUUUGCAGUCCAGCGAUGAGGAAGAAGGUGAAGGAGAGGAGAAGAAGAAAAAAAAGAAGAAGGGUCUGAAAGAGAAGAUCAAGGAAAAGAUCUCAGGAGAAAAGGAAGAAGAGAAGAAAGAAGAGGACACCACAAUCCCUGUUGAGAAAGUUGAGGAGCCCGCUGCCCAUCCUGAAGAGAAGAAAGGAUUCCUUGAGAAGAUCAAGGAAAAACUUCCAGGCCAGCACAAGAAAUCUGAAGAGCCGGCCUCCCCUCCUCCUCCGGCAGAGAGUGCAGCCCCCGAGCCUGAGAAGAAGGGCAUCUUAGAGAAACUCAAGGAGAAGCUUCCUGGGUAUCACUCCAAGACUGAGGAAGCUGACAAGGAGAAGAAAGAGACGUCAGAUUAAGAAUUACAAGAUCUCAUGUUACUUUUUGAGUUAUGAUCGUUGUGUGGUUUAUUUAGUGUUCAAUUUUUUUUUUUUUUUUUUUCUGUUUCCUUCCUUGUGGGAUUUUCAGGUUCAUAUAUAAGCAUUAUAUACAGAGAUGCUUGAUAUACGUGCUUAUAUAUAGGCUUGUUUACUGAAUUACUAUGCAUGUUUUGGGGGAAGAAGGUCAAUCAUCCUCUGCUUCUAUGAUUCGAAAAGUGUUAUCAAGAGAUUUCUUUGCUUGUAAAUCUGAAGCUAUGAUUUCUAACUUCAUGCUUUCUUUCUUCAGCCUGCGAGUGAUUAUACUUUCUGGCCCCAUAUCGACCCUCUCUGUUGACACUCGAUUAGGGGCGAAUGUUCAUGAUUUUGAUUUAUUAACAAUAAAAUAAUUUGUGAUUUAUAUAAUCAUUACAAAAAAUAUUUAUUAUUAUAUAUUAUUAAUUAGAAUAAUAAUUUGUUUUUCAGGUCUCAAAUCAAUUUUAAAAAAGUUAGGUUCGAUUAUUUGGAUAAUAAUAUAUUCAUUUAAAAUAUCAUUAUAAACUACUUAAUUAUGAUUUUUUUAUAAUAAUAGAUUCCAUUAUAAACAUAUUACUAAAUUAUUUUAACUUAUAUAUUAUUCUAUAUUAAUUAUGAUUAUUUAAAUAAUAAUAAUUAUCGUAAUAAAAAAUUAAUAACAUAUUCUGCAUAUUCUGAUUCAAACAUAUUCUGCAAGAUUAAAUUUGAAUAUGAUUUAAUUAGAAACUUAUAUUUUAAUGAUUAAAUAUAUUCGCUAAUAACUUUAUGAGUGUGAUUAACAAAAAAUUUAAUUAAAUUAAAAUUUAAAUUGUGUAAUAGUAUCUUUUUAAUAUAAUAUAUAAUUAGGUGUGAUAAUUUUAAAAUUACGUGAAAUAAAUAAUAAUAAUAAUAAUAAAGUAAAUAUCGCAUAUACUUAAUUGGCCACUUAAGCAUAUAAUAUAUGAUUGGAUGUGAUAACUUUAAAAUUACGUAAAAUAAAUAAUAAUAAUAAAGUAAAUAUCGCAUAUGCUUGAUUGGCCGCUUAAGCAACAUAAUAACACAUGCCAAUCGAUAAAAGCACGCCUUGUCAACCUUCACAUUCGCGGAGCAAACUAAGAAUAUCUCAUCUCAUUGGCAACCCAACAAAAAUCCUUCUCAUAUUUUCUUAAAUAUUUUACACAACAAUGCAAUUUCGAUUCUCUUCACCACUAAAUACUAAGAAAUCAUUGUCUAGUAAAAUCCAACAAUGAGUAUCUACUUUUUUAAGUCUAUGAACCAACUCCAUAUAUGCUAUAUAUAUAUGUAUGUUAUAUGGGCUAGAUGAAAUGGUGUGACUAAGCAAAAAUGUGGAGAAGUGGCGUGCUUAUAGCUUUUGGGUUUAUAGUUGGUCUGAUUAUAAGAUUCACAAAUGGAGAGCACUUGAUUGGAUUGGGAAGCUAUGAUAUGACUGGUCCAGCCGCUGGGGUAAACAUGAUGGGUUAUGCCAAUAUGGAACAGGUCACCGCCGGUGUCCAUUUCCGGCUUAGAGCCAGGACUUUCAUUGUGGUCGACGGCAUCCAAGGUCCUAGAUUUGCUUUUGUUAACCUUGAUGCUGGCAUGGCUUCACAGCUUGUCACAAUUAAAGUGCUUGAGAAACUCAAAUCAAGGUACAACUACAAUACAAAUAAAUAGUCAGAACUAGCUAACUCAUCUUAUUAUUACUUGGGUUUUUUUUGAAAAAAAAAAAAAAAAUUAAUAGGCCAUGUUUAUGGAAUCUUGUAUUUGAAAAUUAAUUGAAGGUAUGGGAAUUUGUAUACUGAGAAAAAUGUGGCUAUAAGCGGCAUCCACACUCAUGCUGGUCCUGGAGGUUACUUGCAGUACUUGGUUUAUUCUAUAACCUCUCUUGGCUUUGUCAAACAAUCAUUUGAUGCAAUUGUGACGGCUAUUGAGCAGAGUAUUAUUCAGGCUCAUAACAAUCUCAAGCCCGGUUCAGUUUUCAUCAACUCAGGUAUGAUUUAAUUCCGAUAUCUAUUGGGUUUCUUCUUCGUUUUUCUGGCGCUGUCAUGUUAUAGUAAUCUGCAGGGGAUGUGGAAAAUGCGGGGAUAAACAGGAGUCCCAGUGCGUAUCUCCUUAACCCAGCAGAAGAAAGAGCGAGAUAUAAAUUCAAUGUGGAUAAAGAAAUGACCCUUUUGAAAUUUGUCGAUGGUGCAACCCAGAAGAGUAUAGGAGCUUUUAGUUGGUAUGCAACGCAUGGGACCUCCAUGAGCAGAGACAACAAGCUUAUCAGUGGAGACAAUAAGGGUGCAGCUGCUAGAUUCUUCGAGGACUGGUUUGCUUCCAUCACCAACUCUGCAUCUCCACCAGUCGGUGACGCAUCUGCUCAAGGUUAGUUAUCGAUCAGAAACAGAGUUAAUUGGGAGCUUAAUAAAAUUUUAGUCUCUACUCAUUUUAUUGUGUCUAUCACACAUGGGAAUGUUGAUAGAGAAAGCGAAAGCAAUCAAAGCAACAGGAGGACAACCGUGUGGUAAAACUACAAGCCAAAGCUUUAAGGUGAGAAAGAAUGGCGAAGGGUCAAGAUUUGUAGGAGCAUUUUGCCAAUCAAAUGUUGGAGAUGUAACACCAAAUGUGCUCGGAGCAUUUUGCACAGAUAGCGGGAAACCCUGUGAUUUUAAUCACUCUUCCUGUCAUGGCAAUGACCAGCUUUGCGUUGGCCGAGGACCUGGGUAUUUAUAGUCAUUCCACACAGAACUUUUGUCAAACACAUAACGGGUUUUGCUACGUUAAUUGGAUCAUGAUCUUUCUUUUGACAGAUACCCAGAUGAAAUAUUGAGCACAAAAAUCAUUGGGGAGAGGCAAUUUCAAAAGGCUGUUGAUUUAUUCAACUCUGCUACUAAGGAAUUGAGCGGCAAAAUCGAUUUUCGCCAUGUAUAUCUAAACUUCACCGAUAUUGAAGUGGAUAAAGAUGGAAAUACCAAAGCCAAGACUUGUCCUGCAGCUCUUGGUCCAGGUUUCGCCGCCGGGACUACUGAUGGGCCUGGUGCCUUCGGGUUUCAACAAGGCGACACAGAGGUGAAUACCAAAUUUCAUUCCUCGUAGACCCAUUUGCUUAAUUUUUUGAAAAUACUAAUACGUUUAUAUGACUUCAAGAUCAAUGAGCUAUGGAGAAAAGUGAGGGACUUGUUGAAAGAACCCAGCCAAUAUCAAGUGGACUGCCAAAAGCCCAAGACCGUUUUGCUUGACACUGGCGAAAUGUUUGUUCCUUACGCAUGGGCGGUAAGGAAUGCUACAAAAACUUCUCCAAAACAAGAUUAUCUUUUAAUUUCUAACUGAAAUCUAUGUUGAUGCAGCCAGCAGUUCUUCCAAUCCAGAUACUGAGGCUGGGAAAACUGAUCAUAUUGUGUGUCCCAGGAGGUUUUCUUUCUUUUCUCCCUUAUAAUAAAUUGAUUUCCCAUUCUGAUAAUUUCUUAUAUACAUAAAAACAAUUCAUUUUCUCAGUUCAUUAACAAAUCAAAUCCUCAAUACACAGAAGAAUGUUAAUCCAUGCAUGAUAGUAAUAUGUAACAUUAGUUGCAUGUUUUUGUGACUACCAAGCUCUAAAAGAAUGGGUUUGUUGAGACUUGCAGAGUUUACAACAAUGGCUGGUCGGAGACUGAGGGACGCAGUUAAGCAGACACUGAUCAGUAAUGGAGAAGGAGAAUUUGAUGAUGAGACUCGCGUUGUAAUAGCUGGCCUUACAAACACUUAUUCACAGUAUAUAGCCACUGUUGAAGAAUACACACAACAGAGAUACGAGGUAAUUAAAACAUGCAUCAUACUACAAUCCCCAUUAAAAACAAGAAGUUUUAAACUGUUGGUAGUUAAAAAUCACAAUAAAUUUUGCAGGCUGCUUCAACACUCUAUGGACCACAUACACUAUCUGCAUACAUUCAAGAAUUUAGUAAACUAGCAAAAGCAAUGGCACAAGGAACCACCAUUGAAACAGGCAUCUCGCCACCCGACCUUUCAUCAGUCCAACUGAGCCUCUUACCUGAACCCUCUGGAGACUCACCUCCACCGGGCAAAAAAUUUGGUGACAUCAAACAAGAUGUGAGUUCUGGUUCGUUCAAGAAAGGAGACAUAGUAAGCGCUACAUUUUGGAGCGCUAAUCCCAGAUACGAUCUGUUAACAGAAGGAACAUUUGCGGUGGUAGAGAAGCUUCAAGAUCUUCGUUGGAUUCCAGUCUAUGACGAUGAUGAUUUUGACUUAUAUUUCAAAUGGGGAUUAGAUAACGCUACAUUUUUUGGCUUAGCAACAAUUGAAUGGCAAGUGACGGAGGAGGCUACUUCUGGGCUUUAUCGUCUUAGACACUUUGGUUCAUCCAAGAAAACGAACUCCUCUCCCAUCAAAUACUUUACUGGCACAUCCAGUGCCUUCACAGUGUCAUAGUUACAUUUGGAGCUUGUUUUAUUAGGAAAAGAGUGCAAAAAUUUUCAACUUUACUUGAACAUUCAAAUCAUUAGAUAAUGUCAUAGAUGAUAUUGACAAUAAACAAACAUGAGUUAUAACUCUUUGAAAAAAGAAAAUUGUUACUGCAAUAAAAAUAACUUAUAAUAACGAAUAUUUUUAACCAUAGAUGAGAUUAGUUACUUAAGCUAAACAUAUACGGAUUCAACUGUUGUAGACGAAUGUUUAUACUGCUGGAAUCUGCAUUCACUUACGAAUUAAACUAUAAAUCUCAUAAGAUAGCCCAUUAAACCAAAGCCCCCUUUGUCUCUUCCAUAGAAAUUCAAAUGUAAUUCUAGUUCUUCUCUUUGUUUCUUCACUUAAAAGUUCAAACAGCCUCGUAUCAUUAACAGAUGUCCAUUGAAUAAAACCCAUUAAACCAAAGCCAAUAUAACAUAAAACAAAAAUACCCUUUGUCUCUUCCAAGAAUUCAAACAUAAUAUCUGAGUUUUCUCUUUGUUCUUUCAAUGGAGAUUCAGAUAGCUGCUUCUUUGUUAUUAUUCUUCGAGCUACAAAUGCGCAGGCCUCCACCAUUGAAAUAACAUCUCUUUCUUUUCUUCUUUUUUUUUUUCUAUCUUUUGCUUCGAGCUUCUUCUUAUCCUGAGCUAUGUUGAAUUCUUUAGUUUUAUGUAAUCUUGUUUAUUCUUAUUCUUUAAGAUUAUCCGCUCACAGCCAUGCCUCUUGUUGCUACGUUUUUUGUCAAUUCAACUUGACAUUUUAUUUGAAAUUUUUGGAGACUUUUCCACUUCGAGUAAAACUUUUAUAAUAUAAAACGAGAUAUCAAAAUGCAGUUCAUUCAAGAAAAGUGGUAUACCCAGUGCUACAUAUUGGAAUACUAGCUCAAUAUGUAACUUAAUACAGAAACCAUGUUUUUCAUUGUGCAUGAGCUUCAAGGCAAUCAGAUUUUAGUGGCACUGGUGAUGGCGGUUUUCACUUUUAUUUACGGAAGAGAAUAGAUAACACUAUAUUGUAUGGCUUAACAACCAUUAAAUAGUAAGUGGCUAAAGAGACUACCUUCAGGGAUUAUUGGCUUAGACAUUUUGCCUCAUUUUAGAAACCGCAAGGAUGAGUUUUUAAACAUCUUGUGUAUCCAAAAUAUCAUAGCUAUAAAGUAGACAAUUAAACGCAAGGAGCUUGUUUUAUUGCCAAUAAUAUAAAACCAUCAUUCUUUUCAAUCCAACAUUCAAAUAAAUAGUGUUCGGGCUUAUUUAUCCAUCCAAAUUACACAUCGGAUGCACUCGCCUUUAAGCAGCAAAUCAAAUGCUUUGUUGAUCUCUUCGAACUUAACCUCAUGUGUAACGAACUCAUCAAGAUGCAGUUCCUGAAAUGAUUUUCAUAAAAACUGUCAAUAGGAUUUAAUGUAUGUAUAAAAGAAAGUGAUCAAGUGAAAGAAUGUUACCUUGUUCAAGUAAUGAUUGAUAAGAACCGGAAUAUCUGAUUUCGCUUUGAUUCCUCCAUACAGACAUGCUGUUAUGGUUUUUGUGCUUUGAAGAAACUCCAUGGAGUUGAACUUCAACUCCGAGUCUGGCUUAUCCAAUCCCACCAUAAUUGUCUUUCCCCAACCCUGAUCUUCCACAAAGAUUACAUGAUAGAUUAUUAUUAGCUUACCAGAUGAAUUACAAUCAUUCUCAUACGAGUCAUGAAUUAAAUUUUCCAGGUUACACAAUAAAACUAGAGUGAUAGUCUGAGAGAGACCUUUCUAGAACUAGCAUAUGCUUCUUGCACCAACGAUGCUCUACCAACGCAUUCAAAACAGUAAUCAGCACCUCCACCGGUCAUCUCUUGGAUCACCUACGUACUCGACAAAAGAAAUGAGAAAGGUUAUUAGUGAUUUGAUUCAUGAAGGUCUAUACUAUAUGCUUUAUCACAAGUUAUUUGAAACAUUAUGUUUACUAAGACAUUUCUCAACCAUCUUGUUAUACUCUAUUCAAGAAAUAAAGAGAAAUGCAGGAGGAAUACUCACCUGGCUUACGGACUUAUCUCCACAGUCCUUUGGAUUUACAAAUUCAGUAAUACCAAACUUUUUGCCUACAUGAAAUACAAAUAUAAAAUCAACCGAAAAUAAGUAUCAUGUGUUUUUUAACGUCUGGGGGAAUAGAAAAGUAAUUUCGAGCACAUAUAUAUAUAUAUAUAUAUGUUAACUGACCAACUUCAAAUUUUUCUGGGUUCACAUCGACACCUAUUAUUUUGGUAGCACCGCAGAGUCGUCCUCCCUCAGCAACCUAAAAUACCACCAUAGAGGAAAGUAAUUUACAUAUUUUAUACACAAUAAUAUUACACAUGAAAGUACAUAAUAAGAAGUAAAACAAUUUAAAUAAUAAAGAAGAAUUGCAAGAGAAUACCGCUAGUCCAACUGCUCCUAACCCAAAUAUAGCAAUGGUUGAUCCUGCCUCCACUUUUGCUGUUUUCCAAGCAGCACCAAUCCCUGAAACACAACAUUUUAUUGGUUAUUGACUACUAGUUUAGUAGCUAGCUAAGUAAGUGUAAUGUUGACAUAUAAAUCUUUGAUAGAUUUACCUGUCGAAACUCCACAACCAAGGAGACAUGCUAAAUUUGGAGGGAUAACAGGGUCAAUCUUUGUUACAUGGGCAAUGUCUACAACAGUGUACUCGCUAAAACUCGACACAUUUGAGAAGUGAAAUAAAGGUUGUCCAUCAAGAUCUGAGAAUCUACUUGUUUCAUAUCUAGGCAUCCAAGGAGUGGUUUUGAAAGGAACACCUGAACAAAGAUUACUUUUAUCUGAUUUACAAUCCAUGCAAUUCUCACAAUUUGGUAUAAAUACUGGGAUAACAGUAUCUCCUUCCACCACUUCAUUUACAUAUUCUCCAACGCUCUCCACAAUCCUGAAACAUGAUCAAGGAAGCUUUAUUUCCAACACUUUAAGAAUUACAUAUAUAUAUAUAUAUAUAUGAGAAACCUCUGAUGAAAAAGUUAUGAGAAUUAAAAAAAGAACAUAUAAUAGAUAAUCUUUAAUUUUUACGUAAAAAAUCAUUAUUGAAAAAAUACUGCAUAACUAAACAAGACAAAGAAAUAUGAAAAUCAGAUUUUCUUCAUUAUGUAUUCGUACUUUUUUAAUGACAAAGAUAGACUUUAAUUUUUGUUAUAUAUAUAUAUAUGUGUAUAUUUAAACAUAAUGUAAACUAAACACAAAAAAGAAAAAAGGAUGUAAACGACAAUGUAACUCACCCGAUAGCUUCAUGGCCGAAGAUCGUUGGAAAGUAACUGGCCUUUAAACACAUAAUACAAGCGCAAACAAAUAUAAAUUGAUAAGUUAAUUCUUCAGUCCAGAUUAUAUAUAUAUAUAUGACUUACGUAUAUAUGUAUAGACAAACCAUAUAUGUAUAUUAGAGAAAGAGAUUUAGCGAGACCUUCAUCCUCCAAAAGCUUAUGUCACUCAAGCAAAGAGAGGUGCAAAUUAUCUUGAUCCGAACCUCGUGAGGACUAGGCGGAGCUACCAUGAUCUCCUCCAUGAUUAGAGGCGUCCCUGCUUCGCGACAUACGGCAGCUAUAGUUUGUUCAUGCAAAGUGAACAAAUAAAUCCUCUCAAAUUAAAUCAUCAAAAAGAGAAUAGGAAACUAGUAGAAUAAACUAAUGAAACUUAGAUCAUUACCUCUGCAUCGAAUUGGUUUCCCAGCGGUUUUGUUUCCAGAAUCCAUGAGGAAAGCAGAUGAAAAAACUCACUAGUACAAAGUAUGAUGAAUAUGGUUGAUGGGGGUUGGCGGUGAAAGACAAAGGAGCCAUAGUAUUUAUAAUUAAACUAAAUAUGCUUCCUCAUGAGCUACCAUAAAUGACUGCUAAUUCUAGGGUGAAUAAUGUAUUUAAUCUUGGCCUUUUGAAUUUGAAAACUUAUUGACUGCUAAUUCUAGGGUGAAUAAUGAAUAAAUGAUCAUAACUCUCUGUCAGUCCCUAGUGGAUAAAUUUACUUAGUAAUUAAUUGAUUUUCAUUUGAUGCGGUGAUUUUAGACUAUUAUAAAUUCAAUAUCAAUAAAUGAACGUAACUCAUUUGACUUUUUGAAUUCGAAAAUUUAUUAAUGGUCAAUUAAAUUUCAUUUGAUACAUUGAUUUUAGAGUAUUAUAAAUUUAAUAUCAAUAAAUGAUUGUAACUCACUGUUCUUAAAUAGAUAAUGUAGUAAUCUUUGACUUUUUGAAUUUAAAAAUUUAUUGGUGGUUAAUUGACUCUGAUUUGAUACACGAUUUUAGAGUAUUAUAAAUUUAAUAUCAAUAAAUAAUGAAACUCAUGUCAGUCCCUAAAUAGAUGAUAUAAUAAUCUUGACUUUUUGAGUUUAAAAAUUCAGUAUCAAUAAAUGAUUGUAACUCACUGUAAGUCCCUAGGUGAAUACCGUUGUAAUUUUGACUUUUUGAAUUUGAAAAUUUAUUGGUAGUUAGUUGACUCUCAUUUGAUAUAUUAAUUUUAGAGUAUUAUAAAUUCAGUCUCAAUAAAUUAACAUAACCGGCUACCUGUUCCUAUGUGGAUAAUGUAGUAAUCUUAACCUUUUGAAUUUGUAAAUUUACUGAUGGUUAGUUAACUUUUAUUUGAUACAUUAAUUUUAGAGUAUUAUAAAUUCAGUCUCAAAAAAUCAUCAUAACUGCUUACUAAUCCCCAUAUAAAUAAUAGAGUAAUUUUAACCUUAUGAAUUUAGAAAUUUAUUGUGGUUAGUUGACUCUCAUUUAGUACAUUAAUUUUAUAGUAUUAUAAAUUUUGUCUCAAUAAAUUACCAUAACUGGUUACUAGUCCUUAGGUGGAUAAUAUAGUAAUAUUGACCUUUUAAAUUUAGAAAUUUAUUAGUAGUUAAUUGACUCUCAUUUGAAACAUCGAUUUUAAAGUAUUAUAUAUUCAGUCUUAAUAAACUAAUAUAAUUGGCCGCUAGUCCCUAGGUGUAUACUGUAGUAAUCUUAACGUUUUGAAUUUGUAAAUUUAUUAGUGUUUAAUUGACUCUCAUUUGAUACUUUAAUUUUCGAGUAUUAUAAAUUCAGUCUCAAUAAAUUAUCAUAAUUGUCUGCUAGAUCAUAGGUAGAUAAUGUAAUAAUCUUUACCUUUUGAAUUUAGAAACUGAUUCUCAUUGAUACAUAANNNNNNNNNNNNNNNNNNNNNNNNNNNNNNNNNNNNNNNNNNNNNNNNNNNNNNNNNNNNNNNNNNNNNNNNNNNNNNNNNNNNNNNNNNNNNNNNNNNNNNNNNNNNNNNNNNNNNNNNNNNNNNNNNNNNNNNNNNNNUAAAUUCAGUCUCAAGAAAUUAUCAUAAUGUCUGCUAGUUCAUAGAUGGAUAAUAUAGUAAUCUUGACCUUUUGAAUUGAAAAUUUAUUAGUAUAUAGUUGACUCUCAUUGAUACAUUAAUUUAGAGUUUUAUAAAUUCAGUAUCAAUGAUUCCUAUAUGGAUAAUGUAGUAAUUUGACCUUUUGAAUUUAAAAAUUUAUUGGUGGUUAGUUGACUGUCAUUUUAUACAUUAAUUUCAGAGUAUUAUAAAUUCAGUCUCAAUAAACUAACAUAAGUGGCUGCUAGUCUGUAGAUGAAUAAUAUAAUAAUCUUAGCCUUGUAAUAUUGAGAAAUACAUCAUCUAUAUUGAGAUAUAUAUUUAAAUAUAUUUGAAAAUUUAUUGAUAGUUAGUUGGUUCUCAUUGGACACAUUAUUUAGACUAUUACAAAUUUAAUCUCAUAAGUUAUCAUAACUGUCCGCUAGUUUUCAGGUGGAUAAUAUAAUAGUCUUUAUCUUAUGAUAUCGAGAAAUAUAUCAUUUAUAUUGACUUAUAUAUUUAGAUAUAUUUAAAAAUUUAUUAGUUAUUAAUCGACUCUCAUUUGACAUAUUGAUUUUAUUCUAUUACAUAUUCAAUUUAUAAAAAGUGACAAAAUUGAUUUGUAGCUUUAAAAACCACACUAUUGCUUAGUCUAUAAAUUAAUAAACCAAAAACUCAACAUUACAUUCAACACUUCAGGAAUCUCAUUACCACUCGUGAUAAGAUGGAAAGCAUAUGAGUAUACGAAUUCAAUUAAGUCAUGAAAUAAAGUCAAAUUCUUUCUUUCUUUUUUUUCCCUUCACCUACAAAGGGAAAAAAAUGGCCUAUUACUCGUAUUUAAGUCAAUGUCUCCAAAUGAAGGUAGAUGUAAAACUCUUUAUGUAAACGAAUUGACUUAUCCCGUAAAAUGUGAAUACAUUGCUUCAAAGGGUCAUGCAAGAAUUUUCUUUCCUAUAGAUAUAUUACAUAUUGAUAUCUUAUUUUCUAUAAAGAAGAGUCCUAAUAUCAUCAAUCAUAAUCAUAUAUUAUGUACAAAAUUCUAUACGAACAAAAUUAGUGUAACCAUAUUAAUAGAAGUGUCUAACUACAUUUUUAUCUUCAAUUUAAAUUUUUUAAGGUUAACAAAGGCUUUGGUUUCUCAUAUUAGCCAAAUAAUUAGAGGAAAUUAUCCUAAUUAACAAUAAAUGUCAAAUUUAUCGAAUCCCAAAUAAAAAAUUUAAAUGAUCAAAUUAUAAUAAAAAAAAUAUUAAAUAUCAAAUUAUAAUAAAUGUCAAAUUUUAAUGAUUAAUUCAUUAAUUUACUCUAAAUUUUUUAAAUAACUUCUAAAAAAAUUGACUUUACAACAAUAAAAAUAGAGUAUCGUAUCAACUUCUUUACAAGAGAAUUAUUUUUAUUGAAUAAAAUCAUCAUCAAUUCCAUCAAAUUAAUGUAAAAACAUAAUUAUGUGAUAUAAUAAGUGUAUAAAUAAAUACCAAUAGUUAUGUUUGAGUCGGCCACUUCCCAUCAAAUUUUUCCUUCCAUAGAACACAACGAGUGCACUUUCCUUCACUAAGCAAAUCAAAGGCUUUGUUGAUAUCUUCGAAUUUCAUCUCACGUGUAAUGAAAUUUUCAAGUUCAAAUUCCUAAAAGAAUUACCAAAAAUCAUAUCAACAAAUAAUUACAUAUGUUAGAUAAUUAAUUGAAUUGAAAUCGAAGAAAUUAGUACGUAUAAAGUAGCAUCAUAAGACUAUUCUAAAACAUACGCUACAUUUAGAAUAUAAAAGAAUUUCUUAAUAUAUAUUUUUUUCUAUACUGGUAUAUAUUUAUAUAUAAAGAAGACACCAAAAUGUUUUCAAUAAAAAAAAAAAGAAACUAAAACGUUACCUUAUUCAAAUAACGAUUUAGAAGAAUGUGAAUAUCGUAUUUAACUUUGAUACCUCCAAACAAAGACCUAAUUAGUUUUUUUCCAUCCCGUAUAAGUUCGUAAAAGUUUAAGAUCAAUUGUGACCCCGAUUUAUCUACACCUACUACAAUUGUCUUUCAACAAUCUUGAAUUACAAAAAUUUUAAGAUAAUUAUUAAAAAUAUUCUUACUAUUAAUAGUUAGAAUAUUUUUAAAUCAAUUUUUAGACGUUAAGAUUAAAUUUCUUUCAAUUCUAAUAAAAUAUAUGUUAUUUAUAUUUAAACUAGAAAAUUUUCAAUAAAUAUCUCAUAUAAAUAUGUUAUUUUAUACAAACACAUAUACUAACAAGCGUAUUAUGAACAAAUCAUAUAAUACCCAAAAAUAAAUAAAUUUCAAUAAAUAUCUCAUAUAAAUAUAUUAUUUUAAGCAUAUACAUAUACUUGCAAGUUUAUCAUGAACAAAUCACAGAAUACAAGGAAAUAAACAUCAUGAUAUCACCAGCUAGUCAUCCUGUAGAAUUGAAAAUUUAUGGAUUAGCAAUUAUGUAAAGUUAGUUUCAUGCAUUUAACUGUUGCCUCAGCAUUAUACAGUGUUUUACCUUCAAAGCUUUAACUAUACAUGCUUAUAAACCUUACCAUGACAUGUAUAUGUAAGUUCGUGCCACCAAUAUGCAUAUAAAGUGCUGUAUAAAAUUUUGGGAAACGUAUGUAAUUUUCAUAUAUAAUCACAGUUAUAGCCUAAAAUAUCAUUGAAGUAAGAGUAAUAUAACACACCAGCAAAUUCAGAGAAGUAAAAAAAACCUUUUUGCAGCAAGCAUAUGCUUCGUGCACCAAGGUAAAGCAGCAGUCUGCACCACGAUCACCAGUCAUAUCCAAGAUUACCUAUUCAACCACAUUAAACAAGCUAGUUAGUUCUUUAAACUUGUUUUUACCAUUACAAAAAUUUCUAUCUUUUAUGAUGUAUAUGGAUAUAACUUUAAUAUUUAUCAUAUAAAACCUCUUUCAGUGGCUUAUCCCCACAAUCUUUAGCAUUCACAAAUUCUGUAAUCCCAAACUUUUUUCCUACAUGGUUCAGAAAUCAAACACAUCAGCGUAGAAAUCAUAAAACCCAUGUCGGCCAUUACUUCUUGAAAACAUUAACUCACCAAUUUCGUGUUUUUCUGGAUUCAUAUCAACGCCUGUAAACCUCGUAGCACCACGUAGUCGUGCUCCCUUUGCAACCUAGAAAUUACCUCUCAUAACGUAAAACUUUUUUUAUCGUAUCACAUGCAAGUGUGGAAUUUUGAAGAAAUAUAUACAUGAAUUGUUUGUAAUUGUUCAAAAAGAAAAUUUUGCUAGACAAUACCGCUAGUCCAAUUGACCCGAGCCCGAAUAUAACCACAGUUGAUCCCGCCUUCGCCUUUGCUGCUUUCCAAGCUGCACCUACCCCUAUUAUACAUAUAUAAAUUUAGUCGUAGUUUUUUGUUUACUUAAGCAGACUUUCAGAAGAUGAUAAUAUUAAAUGUCAGUACCUCUUGAAACCCCACAACUGAAAAGAUAUGCUAAGCUUGGAGGAAUUACAUCUUCACUAUCUGGGUUUUAUCUGUUACAGUAUAUUCACUAAAAACUUGAUACAUUAAGGAAGUGAAACAAAGUCUCUCCUUUGAGGUCUGUAAACCUACAAGAUUCAUAUCCAGGCAUCCAAGGAGAAAUUCUAAAUGGGAAUUUAAAGACAAACAUUGUUUUUCUUUAAUAUGCAGUUUUCACAUCCUCCACAAGCAGAUAUGAAUACUGGGAUAACAGUAUCUCCUUCAGCCACCUCAUUUACAUGGUCUCCAACACUGUCCACAACCCUACAACACAUUUAAUUCAUAGUAAAUUCAAGUACGUUGAUGUUAGACUAAUGGAGAAAUAAUAUUAAUAAUGAUAUUGAAAAUUCCAAGUUUAUUUGAGAAUACACGAUGAACAUAAGACAAGUACGAGUGCAAAAUCUUAUUAUUUUAACUAAUAAUUUAUACAUCAUUUAAUUUGUUAAGAAAAAAAUUAUAGAAGACCGACGUAGAGAGUACCAAAUUGAGGAACUUAAAAAGAGAAAACGCCUAAGGUGUUUUCUAAGACACUAAAGAACAUUAUAACAAAAUUUUAUGGUGGACCACGAUAAUGGAGGGUUCAAGGCAAAUAUCACACUUAUCAUCUCCCAUUAACACUCAUUUCUUGUCUCUAACAUUAGAUUUUUUAGUGAAGAGUUUUCUUUUUUUGAAUGUUUAAAUAUCUACUAUAAUAUAGUAAUGUUAAAGUUGCUCGCCCGAUAGCUUCGUGGCCCAGAAUUCUUGGAAAGCAAGCAGGAGGAAUCUUCAACCGGGUAUCACACAGACAAGAAGCAAACGAACAAAAGCAACUCUUUUAAGUCCAUAACAAUACACUGUACAUAAUAGAUAUAAAAUUAUUCUUUUUCAAAGAAGAAGAAAAGAGAAAGAGAUGGAAAGAGGACCGUCAACUUCCAAAAGGUAAGAUCGGUGUGGCAGAGAGCGGUGCAGAUGAUCCGAAUCCGGACCUCACGAGGACUUGGUGGAGCCACCACGAUGUCCUCUAUGACCAGAGGCUCCCUUGCUUCCCGACAAACCGCAGCUGCAUGUAGUCGGAAAGCCAAAGUUUUGACCUUUUAAAAUCAAUAAACCUACGAGGCAACAAAUUCAGACCAGACCAUACCUUUGCAUCGUAUCGGCUUCCCUGAUGUUUCCCUCGGGUCCAUGAUGAAAACCAGGUAUACCGAAGCUGUUAAUAUAUUAUGUAGAGAUGGAUUUGAUCAGCGUGAGUGGUGGAAGAUAAACAAGAUCGUCCCAGAAUCUAUAGAUGCACGGUUUCUUUUCUAGUCAGAAGAGUCUGAGUGCAUUGGGAAUCAACCAAUUAUGGGUUUUUUGUUAUUACCGAAUACUAUUUUCUUAAUUCAUACGUAUAUAUCUGUUUGUAAUAAAUGCCUUCACAUUAAUCAUCUUAAUAUAGUUGAUUAAUAAGUUGAUAUCGCGUUGUAUAGAUUACGCUACAGUUCCAGCUUUUCCCAUACCUGGACUGAACCUAGACAACCUUUGUACAAGCAGUUAAUACGGUGUAAUCUAACCAGAUAAAUGCAAAGUAAUUAAGGAAUCAGAAUACUGGCAAUGCUGCGGAUUAUUUACCCAAAUGAGCAGAUUAAAGCAUUUGUAGAAACCUAUAUUUGUUAUAAAUAUAUGAUAAUUUCUAAAAUGGUAAAUUUGGGUAAUAAAAUCAUAUAAGCACAAUUAAGGGAAGUGCAAAUGAGGAAUCGAUUCAAGAUCUUAUCAGAAAAAAGACUUCACAAGCUGAUAACACCAAGAAUAUAACACAAGCUUAGAUUCUUAAGUGUAGUUUCAUAAUUCUGCCUCCUUGACAUUUUUAAAGCUAACUUUAUAGCUCAUUCUAGCCUUCAUCAAGGUGUUAGACAUAACCGUUCAAUCAAAAAUAACACGAAUCCAAACAAAGGGUUCGAGGUAAAUCAAGCUCGAGCCAAUUAACGAUUGUGUAGGGUACCGGACCGACAACAUUCGGUCGAUAUUCUUUAGCACCUCAACUCAAGAAAAUCGUUGUAAAAAAAUAAAUAAAUAAAAGUUCUAAAAUCAAACAAAAAUGAUAUAAAAAUAUUAUGCUGCAAGAAUAAGCAUAAAUAUAUGUGAUUUAUUUUUUAAUUUUUUUUCUUAAUAUAAAUUCAUACAUUUUAUUGAAAUUAAAAAUAAUAAAUUCUCCUGAUAAGCACAAAUAAAACAUAAUAGUUUAAUAUUUAAACUCAUAUCUUUAUUAAGAUAUGUAGAAAGUAACAAAUGGUUGAUAAGAAUAAAUUUUUUAUAAUUUUUCAUCCAAAAAAAAAAAACAAAAAUUAAUUAAUAUUAUAACAAAGGCGCAACACGAAGAUCUCGUCCAAUGUGCUCAGAGAAUCUCGCUCGCUGCAGGUGGAGAAGGUGAAGGUGAAGGUUUAAAAGCAAUUGCUACGGAGACUUCUGUAAUUGCCUCCUUCUCUUUUUGUAGGUUUCCAUUAAUACUGCAGCUCGGUGUCCGAAGAUCAUCUUCAGAUUUGCUUUUGUAAGUUAACGAGCCACACAGUAGUACUCAGACUGCUUCAAAUCUUAGUUAUUAAGAAUUUACUUGAUUUUUUUCUUAAACAAGGACAAGAUAAAAUGGUUAUUUUAUUUGAAUUAACAACGUUUAUGGCAGUUGAUCCAUUUUGUAGGCAUCCUCAAGUGGGCUGAAGCAAACAAAAUCAUAAGAUUAAUUUCUCGGGGGCUCGCGGAUCGGCCCGGCCAUCACCGAUGCUUAUUUUAGUACCAUAUCCGGAUAAAUAUAAGCAGAGUAAUGUUUGACAGCUUUGCUGUUUGGUGUACCAUAUAUAUAUAUAUAUAUAUAUAUAUAUGGACCCCCUCUCCACUCCCCUCUUACGCCCUCACCUGCUUUCAGUCGUUCUUGGCUUCUAGUAAUAUUCUUCGAUUAAUCUAGAUUCAUUUCCCGUCUUCUUUCGUCAUGGAUUCCGGCAAUCUCUCAAGCAAAACCGCAGGCAAACCCAUUCGAUGUAAAGGUAAGUUCACCUUAUCCCGUCGAUUUAUCUCAAAAAUGCUCUCUCUCGUUUUUUACCUCUUGAAUCCAGAGCCAUGGAAUUUGACCAAGUUUAAUUUUCAUUUCGCCGUGAACAAACUGUAGCCGCCGUUUGUCGCAAAGCAGGGGAGCCUCUGGUCAUCGAGGAAAUCAUCGUGGCUCCGCCGAGUCCUCAUGAGGUUCGCCUCCGGAUCAUCUGCACCACUCUCUGCCACAGCGAUCUCACCUUUUGGAAACUGACGGUCUUCUCUCUCUCUUUUUAUCUCUUCAUUAUUUCUUUAUCUGUUUAUAUACGUGCAUAUAUUACAUAUACAUAUAUAUAUAUAUAGAGAGAGAGAGAGAGAGAGAAUGAGUUGUAUGAUCUGGAUUGAAGAGUUAUUAUUUUCUGCGGGAUCCAUGAUUUGCAGGUUCCUCCUGCUUACUUUCCACGAAUUCUGGGCCAUGAAGCUAUCGGGUAAAAGCCAGUCCCUUCCAUUCUUCUUUUCCGCUACAUGUGUUCUAAAUUGUUAAAACGUAUUCUCAAACAAAACUUGUUAUUAAAAAUUAUUAAUACUAUUUAAUUUACUUAAUUAUGUUCUAUAAUCAGUACUAAAUUUUAAAUAAUUAUCAUAAUUAUUUAAAUAAUAUUAAAUACUUUGUAAUUUUAUAAUCGUUGCAAUUAUUGGUAAUAUAUUUAUUUCGAUUUAAUGUGUUUAUUUAAUGAAAAUAUUAAUUUUUUUUUUUUUAAAGCAUUCCAAGUGAUACACCUUGCAAGAUAUGAACAAAGAGGGCAAGAUAUUAAUGUUAAAAUUUAUUUUCUACAACAAUCUCGUUUUCAUUAAUGGAUUUGCUGAAGAAUCCCUCCAAGAAUCGCCUGACGCCAUUAAGAUAAAGACCCAUCUUGAUUUUUUCUUUCAAUUUAAUGUAGUUCGUCUAUCCUUUUCUCUCCCUCUCUCUCUCUCUCUCUCUCUCUCUCUCUCUCUCUCUCUCUAUAUAUAUAUAUAUAUAUAUAUGACAGAUCUGUUUACAGUAUGAAAUGACAAAUUAAAUAUUAAUUAAAUUAUUAAAUAGUCCUGCAUGCCUGCAGUAUGCAUAUCUGUAGGAUUUGAAUCAAGGCAAUUGUUAUUUUUAUCUUCUUCCUGGUGGAGUUUUCUUUUGUCUCGAGCUUACUGGUAUACUCCCCAAUAGAUGUUGUAAUUAUGUUAUAAUUAGUGAUAUAAUUGUUAGUGUUAUUCUUCGUUACUUGAGGGUUAAAUAUGUUUCAGGGUUGUGGAGAGUGUGGGAGACAACGUAGAUGAAGUGGCAGAGGGAGAUACUGUCAUUCCAAUAUUCAUCUCUGAUUGUGGAGAAUGUGAAGAUUGCACGUCAAAGAAAAGUAAUCUUUGUUCUAAAUUCCCUUUUGAAGUGUCUCCUUGGAUGCCUAGAUACGACUCCACUAGGUUUACAGAUCUCGAAGGAGAUGUUUUGUUUCACUUUCUCAAUGUGUCGAGUUUUAGUGAGUAUACUGUGGUAGACAAAACUCACGUCGUAAAGAUUGAUCCCACCAUCCCUCCAAACAGAGCAUGUCUUCUUAGUUGUGGAGUUUCUACUGGUAAACCAUUAAGUUUAUCAUCUCUAAAAAUUUUAUAUAAUUUACUAGUAAGUACUGAUAAAUAAAUAUGUACAUAUACAUAUAUAUGUGUGUAAAAUUUGAGAUGAUAUAGGGGUUGGUGCGGCUCUGAGAACAGCAGAUGUUGAGGCAGGAUCAACUGUUGUUAUUUUUGGAUUAGGGUCAAUUGGAUUAGCGGUAUUGUAUCGUACUAAUUUCUUUCCAAAAAUUCAUAUUCAUCGUGAUAUAUUGAAAUGCUUUUUAUGUUGUGAGAGAGUUUUUCAGGUUGCAGAAGGAGCACGUUUAUCUGGUGCUACGAGAAUAAUAGGUGUUGAUGUAAAUCCAGAAAAAUUUGAAACUGGUGACUUGACUUCGUUUUCUCUUUGUGACUUUUUUUUUUUCUUUGUUUUUUUU
rnacentral:lncRNA from 1 species